AGAAUCAACGCUGGCGGCGUGCCUAACACAUGCAAGUCGCACGAGAAAGGGGCUUCGGCUCUGAGUAAAGUGGCGCACGGGUGAGUAACACGUGAAUAAUCUACCUCCGAGUGGGGAAUAACUGAGAGAAAUCUUAGCUAAUACCGCAUAACACUUACGAGUCAAAGCAGCAAUGCGCUUGGAGAGGAGUUCGCGGCCGAUUAGUUAGUUGGCGGGGUAAUGGCCCACCAAGACGAUGAUCGGUAUCCGGCCUGAGAGGGCGCACGGACACACUGGAACUGAAACACGGUCCAGACUCCUACGGGAGGCAGCAGUGGGGAAUUUUGCGCAAUGGGGGAAACCCUGACGCAGCAACGCCGCGUGGAGGAUGAAAUAUCUUGGUAUGUAAACUCCUUUCGAUGGGGAAGAUUAUGACGGUACCCAUAGAGAAGCCCGGCUAACUUCGCGCCAGCAGCCGC
rnacentral:rRNA from 1 species